AUGGGGGGGGGACGUGGUGCUGUGGGGCAGGGAGGUCUGAGGGGGGCCCCAAGGUUUGGGGGACGGGCCUUGAGCCCCCCCCGAGACCCUGCACAGAGACACCGAGGAGACCCCAGCCCCCUUAUGGGCCACCCCCGUUUUCGUGAAGGCCCCCCCAAGUUUCCCACCGAGGCCUCCCCGUUCACCCGGGGACGUCGCGGGGAGCCGAGGGCACCCCACUGCAGGACGGGGGGGCGGCGGCGCUGCGGGGAGCAGGGCGCACCGGGGGGGGGGGCUGCAAAGCCUUUACCCCAGACACGAAACCCCAGUGUCCUGGGGGGGGGUGUGUGGGGCCGGGACACCCCCGCUCCGAGGAGCCUUCUGGGGUUCUGCGUCUGGCGCUCCUCGGGCCGCCUCCGUGCUCGUUUUGCCUUAUCUGAACCCUGCCCUUCCCCUCCCGCUGGCCGGGCACGGUGCGAAAUCGGCCGUUCGAUCCCCGUGGGGUUUCGCUCGGGCUCUGUCCCGCUCCGGCACCCUGCUGUCGGUGGGACGGAGCCCGGCUGCGGCACGGCGAAUUUCCCCCUCUCCUCUCCUGGGGGGUUGGAGAGGCCGGCGCCGUGCAACCCCCAGGUCCUUUCCCGUCCCCGCAGCCCUCGCCCCGAGCCGCUGCCUCGGAGCCGCUUCGCCUUGGGACGCUGCGGCCAGGUGAACCGGUCUGGGAGGCAGGCGGCCCUGCCCAGACGCCGCCGAGCUGCAGCGACGUGUCCUCGGCAGAGCUCUCCCCUGCCUCCAGGCAGCUUUGCAGAUCCCCCCGCUGGCCUGCGGGGCGUUUCGGGGCCGGUUAACGCGCCUCCUCCGCCCCACGCGCCUCCCGUCCAGGAACGGUUACGGGCAGGGCUCGGGCCUCGACCCCGAAGGGCAGCAGCGGGGACGGAAAGAGGAGGUGGGACGUCACCCGGGCGUGGGGCUGCCCCUUAUGUUUUUGGUGGGAACUCUGCAAGGUCUUCCCCCAUUCUUGGCUCCCUCCUCCCCUUGCCCCGAGCGGGCAGAGGGAGGCUUCAGGACGAUCCGGAGGCCGUGCCAGGUUCGUUUGCCGCGAUGGGAUGA
rnacentral:lncRNA from 1 species